rnacentral:rRNA from 1 species
AAAAUAAUAAUAGAUUUAAUAAAAUUAAAGUAAAAUAAUUAAAAUAAUAUAAAAAAGAUUAAUGGUUAGUAUUGUGAAAGAAUAUUUUAAUUAAAUUUAAAGAUAAAAUAAUUUUGUACCUUUUGUAUCAGGGUUAUUUAAAAUUUUUUAAAAAAAUUUAAAUAUUUCGAAAUUAAUUGAGUUAAAUUUUAAAAAUUAUAGUUAAUGUUGUAUAAUUAUUAUAUAUUAAAAUUUAGAAAUAAAAUGUUAUUCGAAAUUAAUGAUAUCUAAUUUUUUAAUAAAUGAAUUGAAUUCAGUAGUUUAAUUUUUUAUUAUUUUAAAAUUAAUUUUAAAAAUAAAGGGUUAGAUUAUAAAAUUUUAAGGGAUAAACUUUAAAAUUUUAAGUAUUAUAUAAAUUUUGGGGAUAGUCAAUAAAAGUAUAAUUUAUAAUUUUAAUCUUUGGUAAAUAUUUAAUAAUUUAUAUAAAUAAAUAUAGUAAUUUAAUAAGAACAUAUAUUUUUAUAUUAAAAUAUAAUUAAAAAUGGAAAAUAAUUAAAAAUAAUGAAUAAAUUAGUAAAUAUUUGGAUAUUUUUAAUAUUUAAAAAUUAAAUAAUUGAUAAGUUAAAUUAAUGAAUUAGGCAAAAUUUAGUAAUAUUUACCUGUUUAUUAAAAACAUGUCUUUAAGAAAUAUUAAUUUAAAGUCUAAUCUGCUCAAUGAAAUAUUUUUAAUAGCUGCAAUAUUUUGAUUGUACAAAGGUAGCGUAAUAAUUUGUCUUUUAAAUGGAGAAUUGUAUGAAAGAUUUAAUAAAAUAUUAACUAUAUAAAUUUAAUUAGUGAUUGAAAUUUAUUUUUAAGUAAAAAAUCUUAGAUAAUUUUAUUAGACGAUAAGACCCUAUAGAACUUUAUAGUUAAUUUAUAUUUAAUGUAUUUAAUUUUAGUAUAUUGAAGAUGAUGUUAGUCAUAUAAAUAUAUAGUUAUAUGAUGUUUUGCAUUUAAAUUUAUUAGUUAUUACAAUAAAAUAUUUAAAUUUGUAGUAAAUUAUUUUAAUUAUUAUAUUGGGGGUAUGAAAAAAUUAAAAAAUUUUUUUAUUUUGAAAAACUUUUAAUUAAAGAAAAAUUUAAAUUAGUUUAAUUAAUUAAUAAAUUAAUUUUAAAUAAUUAAAAGAGUGUUUAAUUUAAAAAUUGAUAGUUUAAGUUACCUUAGGGAUAACAGCAUAAUUUUUUUAAAAAGUUCUUAUUGAUAAAAAAGAUUGUGACCUCGAUGUUGAAUUAAGAUAAAUAAUAAAAGUAGAAUUUUAUAAAUUAAGUUUGUUCAACUUUUAAAAUCUUACAUGAUUUGAGUUAAAAUCGGUGUAAGCCAGAUUGGUUUUUAUCUUUAAUAAAUGUUAUAAAUAUUUGUACGAAAGGACUUUAUUUAUUAAAUUAUAUAAUUUAAUAUAAAAAUUUGAAUAAAAUUAAAUUUUUAUAAACGUUAGUAUAUUGAAUU